AAGAAUGUGCUAUAUAUUGGAUUAGUUUAUAUUUGCCUUUUUGGCUAGGGUAAAAUUAAAAGGGAUUUGUUGAAUAUCGAGCUAAGCUACAGGUUGAGUUUCAAAUGGAAGUUUCAGAUAUAACACUAUUAUUCUAUUUGUUAAAUGCAGCUACUAAACUAUCCUUUUAUCUGAUUCUGACAUGAUGCAUUCACUCAUUUCCUUCAUGCUUUACCAUGAAUACGGAGUAACAGAGAUUUUGGAGCUUAUAAUGUCAAGCGACUUAAGCAAGAGAUUGAAGCAAAAAUCCAGUGCUUGAAAACAGAAGCUGCAAUAAUAUCGAAUGAUGUGUUAGAGGACAAAUGUGUUGUCCUUGAAAGCAAAGUCCAUCAUUCUUGGUUAAGAAAAUAAAUCAAUUUUGAUCUUGAGAUUGUCAACUGAAGAAGAAAGAAGCUUAAUGGAAGAAGAGAGCAGGUGCCCUUGAAAGAAAGGUAUCGUCAUAUUGACAUGCAUGUUUGUUUGGCGUUUCCAAAGCCCCAAAUCAUGGUUUGAAAAAAGUGUGUUUGCAUGUUUGUUUGGCGUUUCCAAAGCCCCAAAUCAUGGUUUGAAAAAAGUGUGUUUCCCAUAGCUUUUAUAUUUAUCGCAACAUUUCUUCUUGCCUUUGUGACGGUUGGAUUAUCCUUGAAUAGACUAUGUUAUAUUUCCUUCAUUCUUGGUUAAGAAAAUAUAUGCCAAUUAUGUUCUCUGGUGUUGAUUGUCGCAAGAGAGAAGCUGAAUGGAAGAAGAGAGAAUCUGCAUUGCAUCUUGAAGUUAAGAACCUCACAGAGGUAUCCUUUAUGAAUGGGUUCUGCCCAGGUUAGAGCUGGCUGAGAGAAGAACGGAGCACAGUGCAGGUUGUGCCAAGAAGAAGUCAAUGGAAGAGUCAUUCACAAGAGGAUCAUGAAGCUCACUCCUGGAAACAUCAAAUACAGUACCAAGUCAAGAGCCUAGAGAAUGUGCAACUGCAUGUGUUUAGUGAAGGGCCUCAAACAGUCCUCUUUGUGACAGGAGAAUGUGAAAUCAAGCUAGCAUUAAUUUUAAAGUGAUCCAUGUUUAUUUAUCAUUAAAAAGUGAUAUGACAUUGGUGAAUGUCAUAUGUUACAUUAUCA